ensembl:lncRNA
AUGGAACGGUCAGUCGAUGCUGUCCCUGAGGAGCCAUGCCCUGCCUUAGGUUUCCCAGACAGUCCUCUGAAAGAGAACUUCUGGGAGGAAUGGCAAGAAAAAUCAGUAAAGAGGAGGAUGCAGUUGAUUGGAGAUAAGUCAGAUGUGUUUUGCACUGAUGAGCUCAUUGCACGACAUCUGGUUUCUUGUCCAGUUCUGGCCUAUAUCAUUUUUAAAUCUAAGUACUUUGCUGUACUGUUACUACAUAUUUCAACACGAGGCAGUAGCAUGAAGCUCAUAUGCUUUCACUUUUUGGGACCACUUGUUGCAUAGGUGAGAUUCUAACAUGAAUUCUUCACAAUUUACUAACUUAACUGCUAGUUACUUUAGAGUUUUACUACUGUCUACCAGCAAAUCCCAGAGAAUAAAAUUUACUCUGAAGAAUGUAGCAAAUUUUCUUGAACUCAAGGCACAAAAACAGAACUUCAUUGGGGAAUUAAAUUACAUACACACAAAUAAGAGAAAAAAUAAUAUAUAUAUGUAUACAAAUUCAUAUUCACUCUUCAUAUAAAAAACAAACCAACAACAAAGAGAAUUACAAGGUUUGCAAGUACAAUACGAUACUACCCUCCACUCUUUAGGUGGAGGAAGUUUAUGGGAGCCUAAGACUCAUGGUCUCUGGGUAGCAGCCUGCUAGUUCAGGCACCCAACAUCAUAUUGCAUGGAACCUGCACAAUAUUUUCCAUUAGAAAAUGUGUCAAACUCUUGUAGUACUAGGCAAUAUCUACUUCUUAAGAAUAGAAGUCUAUGAUGUGCCUGGCUUUUUACUUGACUUUCCUUAUUCCUGUCAUCCCGAUUCUCUCUUCUCUAACCAUCUCACCUCAAAACUUAAAGAGUAGGUGGCAGAUUAAUAAAACAAUACUCUGUUUGUGCAUUGCUGUAAGUUAUUUGCCUCUGAUACUGCAUGCAUGAACCGCCACUGUUUGACGAAUCACUGAGGAAAAUGGGAUCUGACAAACAGCUCUUCUUUCAGCAGAUGCCUACUAUGACAGCUUCAAUAGAAAAACACAUCAUUGGUUCUAAAAUGCCACAUUUUUACCAUUUACAUCGAAUAAGACAUGAAACUCUUUAAGGGAAGCGGUACUAUGUUAUCAUUAGGGCCUGUUGACACUAUGCAGGGUGUGCUUUGAACUCAAUUCUGUCAUCACUCUUAAUCUGCACCUAAAUGCAUUCCACUCUAAAUAGAAGGAAGGGCUGUCUGCAUGUUGACAACAGUGCCAGUGAUGAAGUAUUGCACUCUUUAAAAUCUCAUUUACAGAUUGUUUCAUUACCACCCACAACUGGCUUGGAUCCGUGAGGGAACACACCUGCUCUCAUUAGGGCCACGUGAUGUCUGCCAAUAACAGUAUUUCCAUGAAGAUGAAUGUCCUGGAAACUAUCUUUAUCUCCCAGCUGAUGGAGUUUACUGCCUUCUCCCUCUUUGGGGAGGUAAGGCAUAGACAAUCCGCUGUUUACUCCUUGAAUUACUGAUCUGUUUUGAUAACUGUUUCAUAGUUAUGGACUUUUAGUGUACUUAUGGCCUCUCUCUUCCAUUAGGUAGCCUAUGUAAUCUUCCUCUAAUAUUUAUUAUUUCCAACUGCAGGUUAAUUCCUUACGCUAAGUAGUCUUCAAAAAGCUAACUGAACACCAAGCUAGGGGUAUUUGCAUACAGAACAAAUUAUGCUAUGGUUAAAGUAUACAUAACUUCACAGAGCAACUACUUAGGUAGCAAAUGGAUAGAAUUUAAAAUAUCUUGAAUUUCCUGUUCCAGAAGAACUCAAAUAUUUCAUCAGAACAAAUCCCCUGGUCUGAAGUGUUUACUCAAGCACUAGUUAUAGGGAACUUCACUUGCUUGCAGCCUGGCAUGAUGUAAUACUUAGCAAUAGGAACAAAAUGUUACAGAAAAUUAUGAAGUUAUUUUUCCACUGACACACCACAAGGAAGGACAAUAAAAUAUGCUUGUUCAUAAUUUGCGGACAAACAUUAGAAUCCCAUUUUAAAAGUACCAGUAAAUUAAGAAAUUAAAUAAAAAUUAAGAACCUUUCCAUCUAAGAGCAAGUCAGAUUUAGUUCACUAACCAUACACUCCCAGAACCUUACUUUUAUGACAUAUAUCGCAUACAGGAAUCUCAAAAGGAUGUCAUGCCACAUCAAAAACCUUUUAAUCAGCACAAGACACAGUGAGUGUAGAUAUAAACAUCUAGAAAUACAGAUGCUGCUACACUAACAACUCCAUAACUAAAGUCUUACCAGCUGCAAAUCCAUAGCGUGCUGUUCUAGUUAGGUGUUAAAACUUUUCAUUUUAGUUUGUAUGCAUAUCAUGUCUCAUAUAUAAAUACUGAACUUACAAAGUCAACCUGAAUAUCAUCACCUGUAAACUGGACUUAAAUUUCUGUUUAUGUAUCUACAAGAUCGUAGUUAUGUGUGUGUGUGUACAAAAGCAAUUUAAAACUUUUUGCCUGUAUUAUACUUCAUAUUCUUCAGAAAAAGCAAGUGUAUAAUCAAUGAAUAUGCAGUUGUCCUAACUAAGAAACACACAGGAAAGUUAGGCUAAAGAGGCUGCCGCACCAAAGAAGAACGGAUAGAAAGCUUACCCUUGUCCUGGGCUUGCUGAGAAGACUCCGAGAGGAAGGAUCUCUUUUUGGAGGUCCUUCCUCCCCAGUAGUCAGCUCUUAAAUGAGAUCUAGGAGAGGUGGAGCCAGGCUCCACCCCUUCCGAUAGCACAGGUGAAUUGCCUUCACCUGUGCUCUCAGGGCUGACUAAUUUCUUGCCUCAGGUGAUCAAUCAGAGGUUCAGGCUGUGAUUCAGCAGUUCCCAUACAGCAAGUAUAGCACAAAUGUUAAGUACCUGAAUGAUAAUCCUUACUUUCUUGAAAUAAUAUAGUCUCCUUGUGCAUUAUCUUGAAUAUUUGAAAGAAUGUAUUUGUUAUUUCAAGGGGCUUAUUCUGGUUGCUUUCAAUCUACCAGGCAUCAAGGUAAACUGAAAAAAAUGUUAUUAAAUCUAAACAGGAGUAUCUACAUAGCUAAAAUUUCUUUUAAAACUGUUUUAAGUUAAAUCAAUAAAACUUGCCUAUUUAUGUAAGGCUUGUGUAGGCCCAUACAUAAUAAUAUCCACAAUAGUAAAAAGAGAUAAAGACAUAACAGUAAAGAAUCAAAAUUAAGCAUGUCAACUUCUUUGGCACUUUGCAUUUAAUAUUCUUCAAGUGUUAGUUAAUACUUAAUGAGGUUUAUUCCCGCUUACAAGAUUAAAUUAUUAAAGAAAAAUAUCUGCCCUUAAGUUUUUGAUUAGAUUGACUAUGAAAGCUGAAAAUCCUCACGUUAUUAGAUCACAUGCAGGUUUCCUCGGAGUUCAGCCCAUCAGUUACAUGAAAACUAGAAAGAAACCUUACUUUUCUCCAGAUUAAAAACAGAUAGCUCCUUGUUAAAUUCACAUGCAUUAGCAAGCAGUAAUAUAUUAAAAUAUAUACAAUUGAGUUAUUAUCAAUAUCAGCUUAUACAUAAGUAGGCACCAGUUUCCUAACAGCAACAUAGCCUAUAGCUUGUAAUGCAGAACUAAGUCUCUCAGAGGUGGAGUGGCAGAGAGAGGGAAAAAGAUGAAUGAAAAAUCUGUCUUCUUCUUCAGUUUCCUCUCACUCAUAAGUAAACUUGCAACCAUGCCACAAAGUGACUAAUGUCUCUCCACUUUAACCAGCUCAGCCCUUUGAUAUUUCAAUACACUUUACUGGUCACAGCCUGGUAUACAGUGAAAAAGAAAGGUAAGAGUGAGUCAACACAUUAUUUAUGAUACAGAGCUGUAAUAGAGAAUGACAGCUUAGAAAGAGGUGUUGUUCAACACACAAAUAUAUGACAUGUAUUUCAGAUGUUAGAUGUUUCCAACACCUGUUCUCUUCAAAAUGCAACAGGCUUGUCAACAACCCUUUUAAAGCCUUGUCUGUAAAGUUUACAUGACCUUUAAACUAUGAAGAGCUUUUGAAAAAGUUAAAUUUUCACACAGGAAAACAUUCCUGUUUUUUAAUUAGUUCUCAGUCAAGACACACAAUACUGACAUUAUGUCCAGAAUUCACCUUCCACUAAAGGCAGGUGAACAUUAUAAGUGAAGACAGUUUACAACAGUGUCAUCCUACUUUAUCAGUCCAUAUCACAAUAAGCUCUUUCAAUGUAAACUUAUGCUAAGAUAUUUAAACAAAAACAAUUCACAAUAAAUAAUAAUACAGCAGAUAGCUUUGUGGACAUUCACUGAAACUGUUUAACUAUGUGGAUUUUUAAAAUGAUUUUGUUUUCAUUAAAAAAAAAUUACAAAAUCACAGAAUCACCACCAAGGUUGGAAAAGACCUACAAGAUCACCCAGUCCAACCAUCCACCUAUUACCAAUAGUUCUCACUAAACCAUAUCUCUCAACACAAAAUCCAAACGUUCCUUGAACACUUCUGGUGUCAGUGUCCCCACCACUUCGCUGGAAAGGAAGAAUGCAAAUUCUCCCCAUUCAAAUUAUUUUUAAUUUAAAGCCACCAGAAUAUAUGAUGCAGUAGAACUGAAUAAGUGUUACUACUAUCUGAUUCCAACAGUGUGGUGAUUUUGCAAAAAUGUUCUACACAUACAUAAAAAGUCCUUUAAUUUGGUAUCAUUGGUAACAUACACUUAGCAAAAAGCAAUAUUACUAAAAAGAAAAAAAAUAGGUCAAAGUAGGGCUUUCUCCCUCAAAGUUUACAUGCUUGUGAUUCAGGAAAAAAAAAAAAAAAAAGAAAAAAAAAAAGAAAUUUUCUCAGGUAGCAAAUCCUACGAGGCUUUCAUACACCAGAUUCCCCAGUGCCAUCAUGGCUACUGCAAAGCAUGAGAGAUGAGUCAGCAUUCACUUCUUUCUAGAUGGCACUAAGCAAAUAUCAACUACAUGCAAGACUUAAAAAAAAAAAAAAAAA